rnacentral:rRNA from 1 species
AUUGAACGCUGGCGGCAGGCCUAACACAUGCAAGUCGAGCGAGCGGCGGACGGGUGAGUAAUGUAUGGGGACUGCCCGAUAGAGGGGGAUAACUACUGGAAACGGUAGCUAAUACCGCAUACUAUCGGAUAACCCAUAUGGGAUUAGCUAGUAGGGGAGGUAAUGGCUCACCUAGGCGACGAUCCCUAGCUGGUCUGAGAGGACUAUCAGCCACACUGGGACUGGUGCACGGCCCCGGCGCCUCCGGAGGCAGCAGUGGGGAAUAUUGCACAAUGGGCGCAAGCCUGAUGCAGCCAUGCCGCGUGUAUGAAGAAGGCCCUCGGGUUGUAAAGUACUUUCAGUCGGGAGGCGUUACCGACAGAAGAAGCACCGGCUAACUCCGUGCCAGCAGCCGCGGUAAUUC